GGAAAGCCCCUGCCCCAGCAGCACCUGCACUUCUUUCUUUCCCAGGUGUGUGUCCUGGAGAAGUGUGGCUCCCUUCCUUGAAGGAAAGAAGUGUGGCCCUGUCCAACGAGCCAUGAGAGCAAACAGAGACAGGAGAGAGAAAUGGCAGGAGGUGACACAAGGUGACCUCGGGGAGCUGUGAGGAAACUCAGCUCUGCCAGCUCGAGCCAUCAGGGUGUGGGGCUGAGGCUCCUCUCCCUGCCUGGCUGUUCCUGACUGUAGGAAGAGGCUCAGCAUGUGCUGGAGGGAGGAGAGGAUGGACUUGCAGGGGGCACAGGGAAUGCCAGAGCUCCAGCCGUAAGAAAUCAAGAUUCAUUAGUUCCACUAGGCACAGAACAACUUGCUGAAGGAGCCUGGGCUUCAAGCUGAGCGCAUCCCUUAGCAGCGUCUGGGGACCCUUUCAUUUGGUUAAUUAGACACAAAGUUUUUCUGUGCAGUGGGAGGCCGAGUAUGUGCUGAGGAGCAUUUACUAAUGAGAUAAUUUAUUGUGGCUGUCUGGGAAGCUGAGUGUACACAGCUCCUCCCGUGCACACACCGCCCACCUCAAACCCUCCGCUCCCAGCUGGAGAGGCCUCGGCUCCGGAGGUGGAAUUACGGUGUCAGGUCUCCCUGGGAGAGCCCUGCCCAGGAGCCAUCCUCCCACGGGGGGCUUCUGCAGGAGGGCCUCACCUACAUCUGAAUAUCCUUGCAACAAUUUUCACUCUUUGACUGGCCAAACUUCCUAAUUCCGCUAUUUUUCACACUAGAUUUGAUCUGUGAUUCAAUGAAGUAACUUCAUUUUGCCUCUCUCUUUUCCCCUGCUCCAGGUCUCUCCUUACACGGUUCAAGUGUUAGGGCUUGCCUACACUUGAAGGCUGACUCUGGCUUUAGGGACAUAUAAAUCUGAAAGACAAGAACUGAUUUUUGAAUAGCUCUGGGAGGAUUUACUCAAAAUCAGUAAUUUCUGAAUAACUUGGUGCCUUGGCUGGCCAGUUCAUCCUCCAGGAACUUACAACCUCCCCCUCCAGAGUCUGCCUAGCUGAAAUCCUCACGCUGUCACAGCUGAAAUGUGGCUACAAAGAGCUGCAGGAAUUCCCCAAGGUUGUUUCACAGCCGAAAUACAAUGCCUGGAACAAAAGGACUGUGCUGCAGGAGUCGGAGAGGAGCAGUGGGAGGAAGAGAAGCCCCCAGUGUGUGACUGGAGGAGCUGCAGAUGGCCAGACGUGACUGCGAGGGAAGGGAGGCAGCGCUCAGAGCAGCGUUUCAGCUUUCAAGUCCCGUGCUCCAGGAUCUACAUGCCAUUUCUUGGAUGUGGUUUGCCCCGAGGGCAAUCUCAACAGCUGUGAAGUUUCAACAGAUGAACAAUGUAGUUUUCAAUAAAUUUCACCAAGCAAAGGAAAGGAUUUUAACUCGUUCAUGCUAACCCACUUUUGGUCUGAAGGCUCUGCUGGACCCCAAUCCUUUCACACCAUGAGUGUUUCCUGUUUGAGCCCCAGGCACACCUGAGCUACACUGAGAGGUUUUUCCCCCUCAGAAGAGGCUUCUCUCAGCCAUUCCUGUGGGUCCUGGGAGGUGCAGGAACACUCCUGCCUUUACCUGUGCCACUUGAACCUGCUCUGGUGGAGGAAGGUGCCAAAUGAGGAUGCCCUCAGCUCCUGGUGGGGAAAGGAGAGGAGGUAGAAAGACAAUCUUUCAAAUCUCCUUGUGGCUACUGCAUCUUGGAAGUUCCAUUUCCUUUGUAGGCACACAUCCAGAAGUGGGGCUUUGCUCUUGGAGUCAUGUUCUCAUCCCAGCUGAAGGCUGAUGCCAUUAAUUGUAACUGAAAGAGGGGCUUUUGUGUCCCCAAAUUCUGCAGUCGGAGAAGUCAAGAAAUUACCUCUUCCAAAACCCAUCUGGUGUAUCCUCAGAUCCCAAGGACAAUUACUGUGAAUUGUACACAGGACAGGACAGCAAACCUGAGUUCAGAAGUAAAAGGCCAGCUAAAAAGCCAGCACUGGGGUUUUUUGGUGCAUGUCUGGGGGUUCUGAGCACUGAGGCUGUGACCUUUGCUGCCUCCCCUGUGGCUGGGAUCUGUCAGGCGGUUUCAGGAGUCCGAAGCGGCGAGCUCACACCCCUUGCAGGAGAUAACAGUGCUGAGUGAGCCCUGGAGGGAUCUCACACCUGUGCAGGCUCCCUGCUUCACCUGUCCAUGCUUCACCUUUGCUGUCCAGGCCGAUGGGCUCAGGACUGAGCAUUUCCUCCUCACCCAAAUGUCUGCCCAGAGGCCAUUCCCUCCUGCUCCCACACAGCCACUCCCUGGCCAGUCUGCUUCCCCCUCCCUCUGCAGACAGACAGACAGACAGACAGACAGCAAACACCUCCAGGAGCUGCCCCGGUGGUUCCCCACACAGCUCUGGGGGGCACUGAUGGAGUUUCACAGUAAGGAAACAACCCAAGCCCAUCUACAGACUCGAGGGUGGGUCUGUGUGUGAGGCAGAGGUGCCCUUGACCUUUAGGAGGCUCUUAGCACCAACCCAUGAACAGCGACUGCUUUCAACCAGAGCUUUACAGUGACUGCCUCCCCACCUCUGUCCCUUCCCGAGCCAGGACACAGCUCAUAAAGCACCCAGAGAGAUCUUGUGAGAUGCUGCAGCCUCCACACAAUAGUGCACAGACACAUUUGGGGUCUUUUGUCCCGGCUCUUCAAAAUGUUUCAUGAGUUUUAGUCAUCACAUUGCUCUUCCUGUCCUACUGAGGCUCCCCAACCAUCAGCUUCCAACAGAAGUUUUUCAGACAGAAACUAAAUAUUUUUUCCUUCCUGUAAAAGAAGCCAGUGGUAUCUCCUUUUCACGUGGAAAGUCAAUAACCCUUGCAAAUGCACAGGGCAGCCUGGUUGUGCACUCUGAUUUCUCAUGAUUUCUGCUGAAAUGCUUUCAGUUGGCAUCUCCACCAGAGUGCUGAGCUCUCCAUCCAUGGGCUGCUCCUUGGGAAGAUUGCAAAGAUCCUCCCCUGUAGGAGCAGAAAGAUCAGUGGUCUGAGCAAACCCCUCGGCUGUCUGGAGAGGCUGGACACUGUGGAUGCUGUGCUGGAUUCAUUCCCAGCCUUGU